rnacentral:tRNA from 1 species
GGUUGUGGCUCAGUGGUACAGCACAUGACUGGCAUGCAUGAGGCCCUGGGUUUGAUCCUCAGCACCA